CCGACAUCCAUCGUUGUUUUUACAGAAUUUGGCAGUAUGUCCAACCAACCUCAAGACCCGCCGACCACGUGUGUAUGGCGUCGUGUGGGCGAGCGGUUUCCUGACGUCAACGUUGAGUGCCCCGCGGUGGGGUUAUGGUAUGGGGCAGGUUUGAGUGCCCCGCGGUGGGGUUAUGGUAUGGGGCAGGUUUGAGUGCCCCGCGGUGGGGUUAUGGUAUGGGGCAGGUUUGAGUGCCCCGCGGUGGGGUUAUGGUAUGGGGCAGGUUUGAGUGCCCCGCGGUGGGGUUAUGGUAUGGGGCAGGUUUGAGUGCCCCGCGGUGGGGUUAUGGUAUGGGGCAGGUUUGAGUGCCCCGCGGUGGGGUUAUGGUAUGGGGCAGGUUUGAGUGCCCCGCGGUGGCGUUAUGGUAUGGGGCAGGUUUGAGUGCCCCGCGGUGGCGGUGGGGUUAUGG